GUCCGUGGCGCGUUCGCUUUAUUUAUGGCGCACAUUACACGGUCGACCUCUUUGCGGUAUCUAAUCCCGCCUUGCAAGCUUUCCUGGAGCUAACAUCAACGGCGGGUGGGCACACUCGGUCUGCGCUCGGUGCCACACGGUGGGGUUUGUUUGUGAUGCAUUUGUCUUGUGUGUGAUGAUGACUGACGCGCGGCAGCCUUAUUCUCAGCAGACCCCGCUGGCCUGGCGACUUCGAGGGCAGAGCUAACUGGCGGACGAGGAGAAUGGCUUCACCACGUGCCUGGGUACAUGAGAUGGUUGACCAGAGAGCACACGCUUUAUUUGUGCCGUUUGUGACCUGGUCCACUAACCCUCAGUAUCUAAUUCCCUCUUGGAGAACUUCCGGAAGAAGUGCCCACUCUGGGGGAAGGAGACUUUUCGUGGUCAGCCGGGCUCCGCUGGACUCGGAAGAGAACACCUUCGAGGCGUCGGCCACCUGCGUGCCAGAUACUGCAAACUUGGACUUGUUUUCAGUAGGGGAUCUUGUCUUGGAGGGCUUCCAAGAUGUGAGGCCAUCCAAACUCAGGGGAAGGGGCAUGCUGUCUGUGCCACCCCAAAGUACUGGAGUGACCUGCUGACCGGGGCGUGUGGACUUUAUUGAUGACCCAGGUCAUACACCUCAGUAUCCAGGGAAUCCUUGGGGGGGAAACUUGGGGCAGGGGAACCCACCUUGGCUUGGGGUGUAUGUGUCCCUGUGGUAACUGAGAUAAGUUUGCCCUGGGAGUGAACCAAAAACGUGACCGCUCUUCUGAGCAGUGUCUCUGUGGUCUCACCAGCCUCUGGCCACGAUGCCAAUUUCAGGAUGUUGAGGUUGCCACCAGGCCUGCUCCACUGGGGUACUUGGAUGGACAGCAUGCGCUCAACCAGUGGCUUAAACCAGCAUUGCGACCGUCACAGAGUCCAACUCCGUACUCACAGGACGUCCAGGAUUGGAGGUCAAGUCUGGGGAAGAAUCAGUGGUGUUCUGUAUCAAAUCCCAUCUUGAAGGCCUCCGGUCCAGACCUCAGCUUCCGGGAAAGACGUUUAACUGUCAGCUCCUGCCCUGUGGACAGAAAUAAGUGGUUGACCACAAAGCCUGUGCCUUGUAUGUAUGACUCAUGUCACCUGUUCUACUAACCAUCCGUGUGCAACCCAUAUUAACAGGGCUUCUGGGAUUGGCUGUCAAGUCUGAGAAGAACCAGCUCAAGUCAGUGUAAUUGGUGGGACUUGAGGAGAGGUUUUCUACUUCUCUGUUUCUCUCAUGAGGAUGAAACACACCUGGUUAACCUUUUUUCCAGUAUCAGAUCCCACCUUGGAGGCCUUCUGGUCCAGACCUCAGCCUGUGGGAUGGGGUCGUGUGGUCGUGAAUAACUUGGCCACAAGCCUGUCCCAUAUUUCUGAUUUUAGCUACCUAUUCCACUAACCAUCUGUAUCUUAUCCAUUCUCAGGAGUACUUCCCAAGGGAAUGCCCACCUAGAGGAAGACCAUGGUCCCCAAGAUAGCUCCAUGCCUGGAACAUGCAGGGGGCAAUGCUGCUGUCAAGGAAGAAGCUGUGUGUCUGGAGGUGGCUCUUUUCCGCGGUCCUCAAGGAGAGGUUUCCUUCAGUAUACUCCAUCUUUUGUGACAAAUUAUUCACACCAAAGGGCUUCCCCGGUGGCUCAGCUGAUAAUGUACCCAUCUGCCAAUGCAGGAGAUACAAGAGAUGCGGGUUCGAUCCCUGAGUCAGGAAGAUCCCCU